GACGAACGCUGGCGGCGUGCUUAACACAUGCAAGUCGAACGGAAAGGCCCUGCUUUUGUGGGGUGCUCGAGUGGCGAACGGGUGAGUAACACGUGAGUAACCUGCCCUUGACUUUGGGAUAACUUCAGGAAACUGGGGCUAAUACCGGAUAGGAGCUCCUGCUGCUUGGUGGGGGUUGGAAAGUUUCGGCGGUUGGGGAUGGACUCGCGGCUUAUCAGCUUGUUGGUGGGGUAGUGGCUUACCAAGGCUUUGACGGGUAGCCGGCCUGAGAGGGUGACCGGCCACAUUGGGACGGAGAUACGGCCCAGACUCGUACGGGAGGCAGAAGUGGGGAAUAUUGCACAAUGGGAGGAAGCCUGAUGCGACAACGCCGCGUGCGGGAAGACGGCCUUCGGGUUGUAAACCGCAUUCGCCUGUGACGAAGCGUGAGUGACGGUAAUGGGUAAAGAAGCACCGGCUAACUACGUG
rnacentral:rRNA from 1 species